rnacentral:rRNA from 1 species
CCUACGGGUGGCAGCAGUGAGGAAUAUUGGUCAAUGGGCGAGAGCCUGAACCAGCCAAGUCGCGUGAAGGAUGAAGGAUCUAUGGUUUGUAAACUUCUUUUAUAUGGGAAUAAAGUGAGGAACGUGUGCCUUUUUGUAUGUACCAUAUGAAUAAGCAUCGGCUAACUCCGUGCCAGCAGCCGCGGUAAUACGGAGGAUGCGAGCGUUAUCCGGAUUUAUUGGGUUUAAAGGGUGCGUAGGGGGUUAAUUAAGUCAGCGGUGAAAGUUUGUGGCUCAACCAUAAAAUUGCCGUUGAAACUGGUUGCCUUGCGUAUAUUUGAGGUAGGCGGAAUGCGUGGUGUAGCGGUGAUAUGCAUCGCUAUCACGCAGCACUCCGAUUGCGAAGGCAGCUUACUAAACUAUACCUGACACUGUCGCACGAACGCGUGGGGAUCAAACAGGAUUCGCUACCCGGGUAGUC